CGGGUCGCAGCAGUGAGGAAUUUUGGACAAUGGGCGAAAGCCUGAUCCAGCAACGCCGCGUGAGUGAUGAAGGCCUUCGGGUCGUAAAGCUCUUUUAGUAGGGAAGAUAAUGACGGUACCUACAGAAAAAGCCCCGGCUAACUUCGUGCCAGCAGCCGCGGUAAUACGAAGGGGGCUAGCGUUACUCGGAAUUAUUGGGCGUAAAGCGUGCGUAGGUGGUUUAGUAAGUUGGGAGUGAAAGCCUUGAGCUUAACUCAAGAAUUGCUUCCAAAACUACUUAACUUGAGUUCUAAAGGGGACAGUGGAAUUCCUAGUGUAGAGGUGAAAUUCGUAGAUAUUAGGAGGAACACCGGUGGCGAAAGCGACUGUCUGGUUAGAUACUGACACUGUUGCACGAAAGCGUAGGGAGCAAACAGGAUUAGAUACCCUAGU
rnacentral:rRNA from 1 species